UGAUAAUGGUGAGGACAAUCUCUGAGAAGACCCUUGAUCCUCUCCCUAGCCUGAUACAGAUUCUCUCCAUCUUUUUGCCUAAAUGGCAUCAUCUCUUUCCUUAGUCC